CCUACGGGAGGCAGCAGUGAGGAAUAUUGGUCAAUGGGCGCGAGCCUGAACCAGCCAAGUAGCGUGAAGGAUGACUGCCCUACGGGUUGUAAACUUCUUUUAUAAAGGAAUAAAGUGAGGCACGUGUGCCUUUUUGUGUGUACUUUAUGAAUAAGGAUCGGCUAACUCCGUGCCAGCAGCCGCGGUAAUACGGAGGAUCCGAGCGUUAUCCGGAUUUAUUGGGUUUAAGGGGUGUGAGAUGGGUUGGUAAGGUAGGUGUGAAAGGUUGGGGGUUAACCGUAAAACUGCAAUUGAGACUGGCAGUCUUGAGUACAGUAGAGGUAGGCGGAAUGCGUGGUGUAGCGGUGAAAUGCUUAGAUAUCACGAAGAACUCCGAUUGCGAAGGCAGCUUACUAAACUGACACUGACAUUGAUGCUCGAAAGUGUGGGUAUCAAACAGGAUUAGAUACCCUAGUAGUC
rnacentral:rRNA from 1 species